rnacentral:miRNA from 1 species
UCAAAACUGAACCGAAAAUGCAAGACUUGCUUUAAUUGUUUUCUGUCAGUGUUUUAUGUAUUGAUCUAGUACAGUCUAAAUAACAUGAGUUCCAUUAUAGUAAAUAAUACAGAAAGAAAUUGAAGGAAAACAAUUAAAGCAAGUCUUGCAUUUUCGGUUCAGUUUUGA